rnacentral:rRNA from 1 species
UUAGAUACCCCACUAUGCUUAGCCAUAAACUUAGACAACACUAACACAAUGUUAUCCGCCAGAGAACUACAAGCGAAAAGCUCAAAACUCCAAGGACUUGGCGGUGCUUCAAACCAACCUAGAGGAGCCUGUCCUAUAAUCGAUACCCCACGUUCUACCUUACCGCCUUUAGCAAUCAGCCUAUAUACCGCCGUCGUCAGCCUACCUUAUGAAAGAAAUAAAGUAGGCAAAAAAGUUAAUAACUAACACGUCAGGUCAAGGUGUAGCAAACAAGACGGCAGAGAUGGGCUACAUUUUUUCAAAGUAAAAACACGAAUAGAAUGUUGAAACAUACCCUUAAAGGCGGAUUUAGUAGUAAGAUAUAAAAGAGAACAUAUCUUAAACCUGCUCUGAAGCGCGCACACACCGCCCG